GUCACAGCCAGUAGCAUCGAUGGACAGUUCCCAAAUCCCCGUCAACAACACCAUUCGCUAACCACGAGGAAGUGAACUGAACUAUCGCGAACUUGAUUCGUUUAAGCCGUUUCACAUAAAAAAUCCUUCCGCUGGAGACCAACACCGACGGAACAGGCGGGAGUAAUAGCUCAAAGUGACGAGUGGUCUUUGUGCUGGCUAACGGAAGCGGAUUCAUGGAUCAGAGCACCGACUUUUCGUGGCAAAACGUCGAUGCAUCAGAAGCAGAAGCUGUGGGCUGCAAGUGUGUCCGCUGUGUUGGUUGGAUGAUGGCUCGGACGCAUCUCAUGACAAAUUGAAAAACGGAAAACACCAGCGGGCGGGGACGGCUCACGGACGAGACUGCCGAGGUUGUCGUCACCACAGUGGAUGAUGAGGACGUCAGCUGCUGCUCUUCCUCAUGGAGUGGAAACA